rnacentral:rRNA from 1 species
GACGAACGCUGGCGGCGUGCUUAACACAUGCAAGUCGAACGGAAAGGCCCUGCUUUUGUGGGGUGCUCGAGUGGCGAACGGGUGAGUAACACGUGUGUAACCUGCCCUUGACUUUGGUAUAACUUCAGGAAACUGGCGCUAAUACCGGAUAGGAGCUCCUGCUGCAUGGUGGGGGUUGGAAAGUUUCGGCGGUUGGGUAUGGACUCGCGGCUUCUCAGCUUGUUGGUGGGGUUGUGGCUUACAAAGGCUUUGACGGGUAGCCGGCCUGAGAGGGUGACCGGCAAAAUUGGGACUGGGAUACGGCCCAGACUCCUACGGGAGGCAGAAGGGGGGAAAAUUGCACAAUGGGCGGAAGCCUGAGGCAGCAACGCCGCGUGCGGGAUGACGGCCUUCGGGUGGUAAACCGCUUUCGCCUGUGAGGAAGCGUGAGUGACGGUAAUGGGUAAAGAAGCACCGGCUAACUACGUG